rnacentral:snRNA from 1 species
GUGCUUGCCUCGGCAGCACAUACACUAAAAUUGGAAUGAUAUAGAGAAGAUCAGCAUGGCCCCUGUGCAAGGAUGACACGCAAAUUCAUAAAGCGUUCCACAUUUUU